rnacentral:rRNA from 1 species
GCCCUAGUUCCGAAUGGGCGAGGCAGCCACCUGGGUCAACACUGACGCUCAUGUACGAAAGCGUGGGGAGCAAACGGGAUUAGAUACCCCGGUAGUCCACGCCGUAAACGGUGUCUACUAGAAGCUCGGAGCCUCGGUUCUGUUUUUCAAAGCUAACGCAUUAAGUAGACCGCCUGGGGAGUACGGCCGCAAGGUUAAAACUCAAAUGAAUUGACGGGGGCCCGCACAAGCGGUGGAGCAUGUGGUUUAAUUCGAUGCAGCGCGAAGAACCUUACCUACACUUGACAUACAGAGAACUUACCAGAGAUGGUUUGGUGCCUUCGGGAACUCUGAUACAGGUGCUGCAUGGCUGUCGUCAGCUCGUGUUGUGAGAUGUUGGGUUAAGUCCCGCAACGAGCGCAACCCCUAUCCUUAGUUGCUAGCAGGUAAUGCUGAGAACUCUAAGGAGACUGCCGGUGAUAAACCGGAGGAAGGUGGGGACGGCGUCAAGUCAUCAUGGCCCUUACGUGUAGGGCUACACACGUGCUACAAUGGCGCAUACAGAGUGCUGCGAACUCGCGAGAGUAAGCGAAUCACUUAAAGUGCGUCGUAGUCCGGAUUGGAGUCUGCAACUCGACUCCAUGAAGUCGGAAUCGCUAGUAAUCGCGUAUCAGAAUGACGCGGUGAAUACGUUCCCGGGCCUUGUACACACCGCCCGUCACACCAUGGGAGUGGGUUGCUCCAGAAGUAGAUAGUCUAACCCUCGGGAGGACGUUUUACCACGGAGUGAUUUCAUGACUGGGGUGAAGUCGUAACAAGGUAACCAAUUCGA